rnacentral:rRNA from 1 species
AACGAACGCUGGCGGCAUGCCUAACACAUGCAAGUCGAACGUGAUCCGGAGCUUGCUCCGGUGAAAGUGGCGCACGGGUGAGUAACGCGUGGGAACCUGCCCAGAGGUAGGGAAUAACCGCGGGAAACUGCGGCUAACACCCUAUAUUCCCUUCGGGGGAAAGAUUUAUCGCCUUUGGAUGGGCCCGCGUCGGAUUAGCUAGUUGGUGAGGUAACGGCUCACCAAGGCGACGAUCCGUAGCUGGUCUGAGAGGAUGAUCAGCCACACUGGGACUGAGACACGGCCAGACUCCUACGGGAGGCAGCAGUGGGGAAUAUUGGACAAUGGGCGCAAGCCUGAUCCAGCAAUGCCGCGUGAGUGAUGAAGGCCUUAGGGUUGUAAAGCUCUUUCGGCGGGGAAGAUGAUGACGGUACCCGCAGAAGAAGCCCCGGCUAACUUCGUGCCAGCCGCCGCCGUAAUAC